rnacentral:rRNA from 1 species
AAACUUUCAACAACGGAUCUCUUGGUUCUGGCAUCGAUGAAGAACGCAGCGAAAUGCGAUAAGUAAUGUGAAUUGCAGAAUUCAGUGAAUCAUCGAAUCUUUGAACGCACAUUGCGCCGGCAGUAAUCUGCCGGCAUGCCUGUCCGAGCGUCAUUU